CGUACCGCACCCUGCCGUAAUACAGCUCCACAGCUUCCGGUUCCAAGAUGGCAACGUUCUACACCCGGUGUUUAUAGGAGCUGCCGACAAUAAAUAUCACAGAUGUGCAUCGUUUAUGUCGGGAAACAAAAACUCUGACAAGCAAAUUGGAGAAGGGGUUUAGGCUGUAUGCUGCGACCUACAUUCACAGCUACGAAGAUCAAGCUUUGUGAUUCAUCUCCAGUGAUGCUAAGUCACCACCGCUGCUCCUGUGUGGCUGGCACUGUUCUGUGCAGCCAUUUAGUAGCAUUAUUGUUUCAGACAGCACACUAUUCAUCGUUAAAGCUUCCUGUCGUGCCCCCUGUGCAUAGCUGUACGGAGUCGGAGCAGCAAUGGCACAAGCCGUGAACAAUGGGAGUAAAGCCUGGACCAGUAAAUACCAUGGUUUUUACCAAACCUGUCCCAAAUCGGAUGGUCCAGACUGGAGUUAGGUAAUUUGCUUUGUUAAAUGUAGUUCCCUGUGUUGCAAAUACAUGUUGCAACUUGUUAAUUUCUUUGUAGGAGUGGAUUCUACAGAGGCAUGGUUGGAUAAUUGCCAGAUCCCUGCCUACUUCGCGUAGAGGAGGCCUAUGCGAAAUUUAACCUGGAGGACAAACCUCUUGUUUCACAAUGAACAUGGGACCUGGCAAGCCCAUGGUAGAAACAGCCUUUGGGUUAGUGCAGAAGGGUAGCAUGUUGUCAUAUCAGCAGCCUCCUGUGAAAUCCCGCUUUAUCACACCCCACCACAAUACACCACCAAAACCCUGUCUGCCUCUGGAGGGUUAUGACAUCUUACCGUCCCAAUGUCCAUUUGUGUGCUCAGAAGAAGAGCUGCUAAACCUGCAAAGUCAUUCUGUCACCAUGGCAAUGGCCCACAAAAUUGAGGAGGCUACACGUGAGCAAAGCUCCUGCUCCGAGUGGCACCUGCUCCGCCGACCCAGAGUGACCAUCUCUAGGUUUCGUGAGGUGUGCCAUGUCAGAGACCAGAGCUCUGCAGAGGCAUUAGCAGAGCGCAUAAUUAAGGGCACACGGCAGACAGCAGACAUGAGGAGAGGUGCUGAGAUGGAGCCUGCAGUAGCAGCUGAGUACAGUCAGCUGAUGAACGUCAACUACUCACCCUGCGGUCUUGUCGUUCACCCGUCUACCCCCUGGCUUGCUUCCUCCCCGGAUGGAAUUGUUUUUGACCCCAACGAAUACCCUCAAUUUGGCCUUGUUGAAUUUAAAUGCCCCAAUGUCCACAACUUUGUGGACUGCAAAUAUUUUAAAAUGGAGGGUGGUUCGCCACAACUUAAAAAGAGCCACUCUUAUUAUUGGCAAGUCCAAGUCCAGCUGCUCAUAACUGGAAUGCAGUGGUGCGACUUUGUUGUGUGGGCGCAGGAAGACUACGUAGUGCAGAGAAUCUAUGUUGAGCCAGAAGUGCAGAGCGCAAUUCGAGAAAAGGCAGACCAUUUCUUUUUCUACUAUUACAUGCCUAGCUACCUGCGUCUUAAGAAAAUGUAAAAAACAUUACCCAAGAUUAGCUAAAAUCCGUUAACUCACAAGCAGUCUCAUCUCACCUUCACCAGCAGUCUUACCUCACGUUGGCCAGCAACUCACCUUCAACCAAACCACCAGAAGUGCCGUUUCUCCCUGGAAAUGUCAAUGAGACCAUAUAAUCACCAUAAAUAUAUUUUCUCAGCAAUUGCAUUAUUAUUUCUUUUUGUAAAAUGGGAAAUCAAAUGCAUAUGAAAAUUCAAACAUUAACUGCACGUAAAGUGUUCUGAAAAUUUAAACAGUCAAUCUUUACUUACUUCCUAGCAGACAGAUCUACUGCAUUUCAUGAAAGGCAAUAAUAUUGUUAGGUAGAACUUUAUUUAAUCACUUAACCCAUUUUUUGACGAGUGCCUUGUUUUGGUAAUUUGACAGCAGACAGGCACCUACAAAUAUCUCAUUGAUAUUGUACGCAUGUGACAGGGUGAUGGUGCCAUCAAAAAGCUGGUUCUCCUUUAUCCUCCGAAUGACACGCUCUACGUGCAUCCGCAAUCUGGCUAUGGCCUGUGUCUCCUUCACCUGGCAUGCUGGCAUCUGUUUGUUUUUUGAGAGAAAGGGUGGGCAGUAAACUUUGCUUUUGCAGCAAUCACUGAUUACGAAGCCUUUAUCGACCAUAACUGCCAUGUUUUCUGUCAGCAACUCAGCGAUUCCUGAUUGUUUGAACAUUUCCUUGUCGCUAACUGAACCACCAUACAAUCCGGAAAUGAAUGUCACUGCACCAUGUGGGGCUAUGCCAACCAGGCCUUUCAUGGUGCAGUGGGAUUUGUACGUAGAGUACAUCUCACUUUGAAGGAGGGGUGAGGAUGGGGUUUGGCAUCUAAGCUCAGUGCAAUCUAGAAUUACCUGGGUGUCCGGGUAAUCCCGGAAUUCCUCCGGGAGGUAAGCCUGUACCUCUGCAGGUGUGAGCCAAAUACAAAUAGACCCUAGUGCUGUGGCCAGAAAACAAGUCCAUGUGGCAAUGAUGCGGCUCACUGUGGACUGGUGAAUUUUAAAGCGAUUUACCAGGUCUCUCUCCUUCAAUCCAGCCGAAAGAUAGUUCAGAAAAAGAAAGAGUUCAUCUAUGGGCUGGAGCAGCUGUCUCUGAGAGGAAAAUAAAAAAAGGAUAGCUCAAACAAAUACAAAUGCAAUGA